AUUUCAAUCAGUGAUAGUGUGUAACAAACAUUUUUCAUUGUAAUUCAAUGACAAAAUCUAUAUUGAUCAAUUGGCUUAUGUAGUUGACCAAAAUAAAAUGAAUAUUUAUGCCUUCAUCUAAGUUCAGUUAGUAUAACAAGUUUCCAGGGAUCCUAGAUCCCUUUUGACCCCACAAUAAAUGCACUACUUUUUGCUUUACUAGUUAAGUUUAUAUACUUUGCAAUCUCAUCCUGCAGCACAAAAGGAUUAGGAGCUACUGCUCCUGAUCCCUCAAAAGCACGGGAACUUGAAGAUGGGCUCGUAGUUCCCCUAGGAAAGCCAGAAAAAAAUUUAUGCCUCAAGAGCGAACUACUGUACAAUGAAUACGUUGUUUAUAAUGUAGAGCAGAUUAGGAUGCGAUAUAUUGUUCACGUAAAUUUCAAUUUUAAGAAUAGAAGAAGUUAGCGGCUAAAUGAUUACAAUGUUGUUUGUGUAUUUUAUCAUUUUCUGGUUCGCCUAGCCAAUCAACAAUCAUUAUUGAUGUAAAUUAUUCCGAGUCAAAGGUUAAUUGGUCGCUCCUUUCUUAUCUUUAGUAAUAGUUUAAGCCAAAAGAAUCAAAUGGAAAUUAGGAUGACAAAAUUAAGAAAGGUAAGGGAUACAAAUAAAAACACUAAAUAGAUUUUGAUUCUUCAA